GCUACAAGCCAGGCUAUCGCUUUUUCGUCCUGAGUUUAUCGAAGGAUGAAAAGGAGGAAAGUCCGGACAGCACAGAGCAAUGUACCGGUGAAUAGCCGGGUCUCCGCAGCAAUGCGGGGAACAGACAGUGCCACAGAAAAUAACUGCCUUACCUCUCCUUUAGGAGAGGGCAGGGUGAGGUUGAAAAUGUGAGGUAAGAGCUCACAGCUUAUAAUGGCAACAUUAUUCGCGGGUAAACCUUGCAUGCUGAAAUGCCACAUAUACUAUCGGUAAGGGCUGCUCGCCCGUGUGCAGGUGCAAGCCUGCUGCGAUAGAGGGUAGGCAGAUGGAUCCCAACAGCAAUGUUGAGGACAGAUAAAUGAUAGCCACCCUGAGUUUACCAAAGGGGACAGAAUCCGGCUUACAGGCUUGUAGUUUUU
rnacentral:RNase_P_RNA from 1 species